GGAUUUGUGGCUCAGUAGUACAGCACUUGCCUGGCAUGUGUGAGGCUCUGGGUUCAAUUCUCAGCACCA
rnacentral:tRNA from 1 species